rnacentral:misc_RNA from 1 species
AAAGUCGUAACAAGGUUUCCGUAGGUGAACCUGCGGAAGGAUCAUUACAAAGUACCGGCCAGUCCGGCCGCUUCUGUGAGCACCCGGUGCGCCUCCCCCCCGGGGGCCGUCGGUGUUUGACAGUUUACCCCAUGUGAAAACCCCUUGUUGCUUCGGCAGCGCCUCCCCGUCCGCGGGGAGGGUCAGCCUGCCGGCGGCACCUCAGGAAACCCUUUGAACCGAAAGGAAGCAUUGAUAACGUCUGAGAGCGCAAGUCGAAUGACAUAUAAAACUUUCAACAACGGAUCUCUUGGUUCCC